CUCCUGCGUUUCCGUCUCAUUUCGCUCGGACGUCACUUCCGCCCUCCUUGGACAAGAUGGCCGCCGCCGCCGCCGGUGGAGCUGUACCUCGUUUGUGAAGCUCGGCAUUGGGCGCCAUGGGCGUGUGGCGCGACUACAAAGUUCUGAUUGUGAUGGGCACCAGUUUGGCUCUGAUCCACGCCGGUUGGUACCAGCUCAAGGCCCGCCCCCACCUGUACAAGAGCGCGGCACGCGAGCCCGCCGGCAACACCAAGAGCGAGUAGCCUGGCGUCGGCGAUGAGAGGCGGCUGGCUGCGGCGCAACUGGCCCUGGGUGGCGGGCGGCGCCCUGCUGGGCGUGCACGUGGCCACCUGGCUGAUGCAGCGCGCCGUCAAGAAUGCCGUGCGCUCGACGGGACAACAGACGCGCACGCGCGACUGACGACAAAAAGGCUUCUGUUUUGCUUUCCCUCGUCUGUCCCUCAAUCAGUGGAAAGAGGACCAAUCCAAGACUGCUCAUGGGAUCUUUGGGCUCAUCAAUACAGAAGCUAAACAAGU